rnacentral:rRNA from 1 species
GACGUAGGGCGCGAGCGUUGUCCGGAUUUAUUGGGCGUAAAGAGCUCGUAGGCGGCUUGUCGCGUCGACUGUGAAAACCCGCGGCUCAACUGUGGGCUUGCAGUCGAUACGGGCAGGCUGGAGUUCGGUAGGGGAGACUGGAAUUCCUGGUGUAGCGGUGAAAUGCGCAGAUAUUAGGAGGAACACCGGUGGCGAAGGCGCCACUCUGGGCCGAAACUGGACG